UACAUUUUAGUAUAUGAUGUACACAGGUUUUUGAUACUUGAGGGGAUAGUUUAAUUCUAUUAAGUGUAG
rnacentral:tRNA from 1 species